rnacentral:rRNA from 1 species
GAUGAACGCUGGCGGCGUGCCUAAUACAUGCAAGUCGAGCGAACGGACGAGAAGCUUGCUUUUCUGAUGUUAGCGGCGGACGGGUGAGUAACACGUGGAUAACCUACCUAUAAGACUGGGAUAACUUCGGGAAACCGGAGCUAAUACCGGAUAAUAUUUUGAACCGCAUGGUUCAAAAGUGAAAGACGGUCUUGCUGUCACUUAUAGAUGGAUCCGCGCUGCAUUAGCUAGUUGGUAAGGUAACGGCUUACCAAGGCAACGAUGCAUAGACGACCUGAGAGGGUGAUAGGCCACACCGGAACUGAGACACGGUCCAGACUCCAACGGGAGGAAGCAGUAGGGACACCUCCGCCAUGGGCAGAAGCCUGACGGAGAAACGCCGCGUGAGUGAUGACGGUCUUAGGAUCGUAAAACUCUGUUAUUAGGGAAGCACAUAUGUGUAAGUACCUGUGCACAUCUUGACGGUACCUAAUCAGAAAGCCACGGCUAACCACGUG